rnacentral:rRNA from 1 species
GUGCCAGCAGCCGCGGUAAAACGUAGGAGGCGAGCGUUAUCCGGAAUGAUUGGGCGUAAAGCGUCCGUAGGUUGUAGUGUAAGUCUGCGGUUAAAGAGUCUAGCUUAACUAGAUAAAGGCCGUGGAAACUACACAACUAGAGUGCGUUCGGGGCAGGGGGAAUUCCUGGUGUAGCGGUGAAAUGCGUAGAGAUCAGGAAGAACACCGGUGGCGAAAGCGCCCUGCUAGGCCGUAACUGACACUGAGGGACGAAAGCUAGGGGAGCGAAUGGGAUUAGAUACCCCAGUAGUCCUAGCCGUAAACGAUGGAUACUAGGCGUUGGUAGUAUCGACCCUACCAGUGCCGUAGCUAACGCGUUAAGUAUCCCGCCUGGGGAGUACGCACGCAAGUGUGAAACUCAAAGGAAUUGACGGGA